AGAAGUUACACAUAUUUCUUAGUAGGAAUACAUUUCCAUCUUUCUGUUUGGAGUGAGUCACAUUUUAAUGUUUUGUUUCAGAAUUUGCAUCUGAAGGGUUAAUAAAGAUACAGUAUGGCAUAAAGGCUAAACAUAGCUCUUAAUGCUGCUGGCGAUCAUCCCCUGGAAUAUACUAGUGCUGAGAUUUAUGGAGCCCCUUAGGCUCCCACAGACCCUCAGCUUCAGGGAAAGGAAGGCUCACUCCAGAGAACAAUGUGCAUAUAUUCAUUCUGCUGCCCUGCGGCACAGCCCAGCCUGCUAACCUGGUCACCUUCUGCCUCACUCUUCAGUCUUAGCUUUUGCGUUGAUGUACACGUAAAUCACUUGGGACACAGAGUGAAAUCACAGUAUUUAAUCAGCAUACUCACUGGUCAAUUUUACUUGCCUCCUUGCAAAGAAGCAAGUCUUAUUUCAGAGCUCUAAGCUGUUAAUUAUUGUAAGCAAUCCAUCAAAUACAUAGGUUUCUGAAAUAUGUUGGACUAUGAUUUAAUUAUUUUCCUCAAUUAUUAUUUUCUGCUAUUUCAAUUUUUGAAAGCCAUACAAUUAAUCAGUUAUAAUUGGGUAUGGGCGCCUCUCCACCAAUCCAUGACCCCCAGCGCCUGCAUCAGAUGUUGAAAUAACACGAUAAAUGUGUUUGGAUGAAAAAAUACUGUGGUGACAUGUUUGGAUGAAUCAAGUUCACAUAAAUGGUACAAUAGAUGGGAUGAGCAUGCAAGCUAACAUAGCUUUAUAUUGCUUAUGUUUACAGAUUUGUGCAAGUCUUAGAAGCCUAGAUACACUUACUAUGCACCAUAUUUAAGAAUUGUUGAUUGAAGAGGUGGACAAUAAAACAAUCAAGCCAUAUUUCCUGCAUGCAAAGGACCAGUAAUUAAGGAUGAAGGGGCAUGCUCUCUUCCUCCCCUGCUUUCCCCUAUUGUUACCAAACAUUAAAUAUUCAAAAGCAUUUGACUAAAAAUGUCACUACACAUUUAUAAUAUUCCAUUAAAGCUGAUAUAAAAAAUAUUAAUAGACAUUUGUUAUGGUAUUAUAGCAUAAAAAGGCUGUAGCGGCCGGGCGCGGUGGCUCACGCCUGUAAUCCCAGCACUUUGGGAGGCCGAGGCGGGUGGAUCAUGAGGUCAGGAGAUCGAGACCAUCCUGGCUAACAAGGUGAAACCCUGUCUCUACUAAAAAUACAAAAAAUUAGCCGGGCGCGGUGGCGGGGUUUCACUAUGUUGGCCAGGCUGGUCUCGAACGCCUGACCUCGUGACCCACCCACCUCGGCCCCCCAAAGUGCUGGGAUUACAAGCGUGAGCCACCGCGCCUGGCUGACAAGUAAAAAAAUUUUAAAGAAAAGCUGAGAACACAAAGUAUACAAUUCCUAAUAAUAUGUUGAUAAAGAAUUACAAGUUGAAAAUAAAAUUUGCAAUAGCUAAAAGUUUCAUGGGUCUCUAUAGAAACCAACAGCGGCAAGGGGAUUGCUGCAGGGGAGGCGUGGUGGUGGUUCAUUCUUUCAUUCUAACGAACUGCUACUGUGUGCUAUAUAGACUUGAGGAACCACCUGCUGCCUAUUCAGUGAUAAGUGUUUACUGACAUUGCUCCUGUGAAAGGACUCCAGGGAUCAAUGGGUAGAGAUAGGAGAAGGAAUAAAUUGAGAAAGAUUGCUGUCAACUGGCUUGAAUGCGAACACCAGGUCUUGUGGUAGAGAUGAGGUAUGUGGUUACCCUAAAGCAAAACAUCUCAUAAGAUUGUUUAAUGGAAAAAUGGAAUUCUUUCUUAUCAAAUGUAAUCAUUCAUUACAGGAAAGAUGAAAGUAAUUGUGAGAUGCCAUUACCACUUGCCACAGUAGUUUAAGACAUGUAUUGACUUGGCUUUUAGUUACCUACGUUUUCCUGGAGUCUUUUUGUCUUAAUAAGGUUCCAAAGACAAUUGGACUCUGUUCUUAACCAGUGCCUAAGUUACUCCUUAACGAAUAAAGUAGGUGUUUCGAGAGCCACAUUAAUUCUUUUUAAGCUAGUAGCUGCUUACGAAGGUGAAUUAAUUCUUCAAUAAUUCUAUAUA
rnacentral:lncRNA from 1 species